CAGUAACGGCGAGUGAAGCGGCAACAGCUCAAAUUUGAAAUCUGGCUCCUUCGGAGUCCGAAUUGUAAUUUGUAGAGAGUGCUUCGGGCGAGACCUCGGUUUAAGUCCAUUGGAACAUGGUGUCAUAGAGGGUGAGAAUCCCGUAUGCGACCGUGGCUCGAGCCCAUGUGAAGCCUCUUCGACGAGUCGAGUUGUUUGGGAAUGCAGCUCAAAAUGGGUGGUAAAUUUCAUCUAAAGCUAAAUACUGGCUGGAGACCGAUAGCGCACAAGUAGAGUGAUCGAAAGAUGAAAAGCACUUUGGAAAGAGAGUCAAACAGUACGUGAAAUUGUUGAAAGGGAAGCGCUUGCAACCAGACCUGCCCGUAGGCGAUCAGCCGCUGUUCUCAGCGGUGUACUCGCUCUGCGAUCAGGCCAGCAUCGGUUUCGGCGGGCGGAUAAAGACCUUGGGAAUGUAGCUUCCCUUCGGGGAAGUCUUAUAGCCCUCGGUGUAAUGCGGCCAGCCGGGACCGAGGACCGCGCUUCGGCUAGGAUGCUGGCGUAAUGGUUGUAAGCGACCCGUCUUGAAACACGGACCAAGGAGUCUAACAUCUAUGCGAGUGUUUGGGUGUCAAACCCAUACGCGGAAUGAAAGUGAACGGAGGUGAGAACCCUUAAGGGCGCAUCAUCGACCGAUCCAGAUGUCUUCGGAUGGAUUUGAGUAUGAGCAUAGCUGUUGGGACCCGAAAGAUGGUGAACUAUGCCUGAAUAGGGUGAAGCCAGAGGAAACUCUGGUGGAGGCUCGCAGCGGUUCUGACGUGCAAAUCGAUCGUCAAAUUUGGGUAUAGGGGCGAAAGACUAAUC
rnacentral:rRNA from 1 species